UACGAAGGGGGGCUAGCGUUGCUCGGAAUCACUGGGCGUAAAGGGUGCGUAGGCGGGUCUUAAGUCAGGGGUGAAAUCCUGGAGCUCAACUCCAGAACUGCCUUUGACACUGAAGAUCUUGAGUUCGGGAGAGGUGAGUGGAACUCCUAGUGUAGAGGUGGAAUUCGUAGAUAUUAGGAAGAACACCAGUGGCGAAGGCGGCUUACU
rnacentral:rRNA from 1 species